CCUACGGGAGGCAGCAGUGGGGAAUCUUGUGCAAUGGACGAAAGUCUGACACAGCCACGCCGCGUGCGGGAAGAAGGCCUUCGGGUUGUAAACCGCUUUCAGCAGGAACGAAAAUGACGGUACCUGCAGAAGAAGAUGCGGCCAACUACGUGCCAGCAGCCGCGGUGAUACGUAGGCAUCAAGCGUUGUCCGGAUUUAUUGGGCGUAAAGAGCUCGUAGGCGGUUCAGCAAGUCGGGUGUGAAAACUCUGGGCUUAACCCAGAGCCUGCACUCGAAACUGCUGUGACUAGAGUUCGGUAGGGGAGCAGGGAAUUCCUAGUGUAGCGGUGAAAUGCGCAGAUAUUAGGAGGAACACCAAUGGCGAAGGCACUGCUCUGGGCCGAUACUGACGCUGAGGAGCGAGAGCGUGGGUAGCAAACAGGAUUAGAUACCCUGGUAGUCCACGCCGUAAACGAUGGGCACUAGGUGUGGGUCUCUAACCAACGAGAUCUGCGCCGUCGCUAACGCAUUAAGUGCCCCGCCUGGGGAGUACGGUCGCAAGACUAAAACUCAAAGGAAUUGACGGCUGAGACGNGCGAGACGACGACGAGGAGGAGG
rnacentral:rRNA from 1 species